CACAGAAACUGCAUCAGCAGGAGAAGAAGCUCCCGACCCAGCGCCUCGUUACCAUGGAGACCAGCUGUGUACCGAAAUUCAGGCUCACCUGGUGACAAGCAGAAGAAAAGAAGUCGUCAUCCAGAAUAAAUAAAGUUCUUGCUUUCAUUGGGCAGUAAACAUGAUCCUGGUAAAGAUGUUCAGAUUUCUGACAGGAAAGGAUUUCUUUGAGUGUACCGGUCUCGUGUUCUCCGGGGUUGUCAGAGAUCUCCAUGGCGUACAUCUUCAGGCCCUGAGAGCUUUUGCCGAUGUUGUAGAU